CUGAUGUGUAACUUGUUUAUAUAUUUAGUGAAAAGCUACAUGUAUUUCCAAGUAUUCUAGUAGUAUACAAUUUAAUUUGGUAUUUAUAUACAUUGUUCAAGUAGCCAAAUAUCUAUGCUUUACUACUUAAAAAUCCUUUUAUCCUAGCUUAGUGAGCCCCCAUUGAGACACCCUGGUGCUAGAUGCGUUCGUUAGUGGAGUACAGUUUGCUCAGUUUCCUUACCCCUGACUUCAGCCUCAUCCCCAUUUCUCCUUUUUCCACUGGAAUAUAUUAUUCCAGAAUAAUAAACUAGAAAUAGACUAGGCUCUAACACUAUCUUCAGUGCUUGUACCUCGUGAUAAAUUAAUUAUCUGAUUUGUAAGAUACUUCCAAAAUGCACUUGGAUCUUGUGGAAUGACAGAGACCUCAUGUGGCCAACCUGAAUAAUUCACAUGUAUUGGCCUCCUGUGAAGCAAAGGAAUUGAGACUUGGGUGCCUCGCUCUGUGCUAAAGCUGACAGUAUUAACCUUUAGCAAGAUUGUCUUCUAGACCUGGUUUUCUUUAAAACUGAUAGAAAACAUUAGAAAGUUAAUACACUGAUUUAUCACAGAAAAGCAUGUUGUGUUUAGAGCUCAGUGUUUUAAGAUUAUAAAACUACAUUCAUCAGUGAAAUAUGUCUUGAACAUAAAUGAUUUGCCAACUUAUCUUUCUAGUGGAUCUCUUCACAUCUGCCUUAAAAGUGCUAUUUAGAGAUACAUUAAUAGAGUUUCAGAUAAUAAAACAGUUGUAAAAUCUAAUUUAUAAACAGAAACUAGUUUGAGACACAGUGCUAGAUUGUGAAUGAUACUUAAUGGCUCAAAAGCACUUAUAAAGCAGUGUGGUUCUGAUUUUGUUUUCUGAAUUAAACUCAGUGUCAUGUAAGGAGUUACCCUAUAAUUAUUCUUAACACAAGAUGAAAUUCAUU
rnacentral:lncRNA from 1 species